rnacentral:rRNA from 1 species
AGAGUUUGAUCCUGGCUCAGAUUGAACGCUGGCGGCAUGCCCUACACAUGCAAGUCGAACGUGAAAGGGGGCAACCCCGAGUAGAGUGGCGAACGGGUGAGUAAUGCAUCGGAGCGUGCCCAGUAGUGGGGGACAACCUCGAGAAAUCGAGGCUAAUACCGCAUACGACCUACGGGUGAAAGCGGGGGACCGCAAGGCCUCGCGCUAUUGGAGCGGCCGAUGUCCGAUUAGCUUGUUGGUGGGGUAACGGCCCACCAAGGCGACGAUCGGUAGCUGGUCUGAGAGGACGACCAGCCACACUGGGACUGAGACACGGCCCAGACUCCUACGGGAGGCAGCAGUGGGGAAUUUUGGACAAUGGGGGCAACCCUGAUCCAGCCAUGCCGCGUGCGGGAAGAAGGCCUUCGGGUUGUAAACCGCUUUCGGCCGGAACGAAAUCGCCCGGGAUAACACCCCGGGUGGAUGACGGUACCGGAAGAAGAAGCACCGGCUAACUACGUGCCAGCAGCCGCGGUAAUACGUAGGGUGCGAGCGUUAAUCGGAAUUACUGGGCGUAAAGCGUGCGCAGGCGGUUCGCUAAGACAGAUGUGAAAUCCCUCGG